ACAUUGCUCCUUAUGUGUAACUCUUGGAAGGUUGAGUACCAAUAUUUUGUACAUAGAAGUGGGUGGUUGAUUUUCAAGUUUAAAGAUGAGGCAUCAAGGACUAGUGUGACACAGGAUGCUCCUUACUUUGUAUUCGGUAGACCGUUAAUGCUUAAAGUUAUGCCCCCGAUGUUUUGAAUUCGAUGAUAAAGAGGUAUGCACCAUUCCGGUAUGGGUGAAGUUACCAAGGCUUCCAUUUGAUUGUUGGAAUCCUAGGGCUUUGGCUAAAAUUGUAUCUAAGAUUGGGAAACCAAUUUCAAUGGACAAACUCGCUACUACUAAGGGCAGAAUCUCUUAUGCACGCGUGUUAGUGGAAAUUGAUGCCUCCAAGGAGUUUGUUCGGUUUGUGGCUAUGAACCUUCCAACGAGCAAAUUGAGAGUGCAAGAGGUUGAAUUUGAGCACGAACCCAAAUUUUAUGCAAAUUGUAAGAUGUUUGGACAUGCUAGUAUAACAUGUAAUGUCACAAACCAGCCUAUUAUACUGAGGCCGAGAGAGGCUGGGAAUUCGCCAAACACAGGAAAAUCGGCACAAGUUGCUGACAUUGCCUCGAAACAGGCAGUUUUGGAAGCACAGGCUAGUUCUAAUCAGAUAGGUGUGGUAAAGUAUAGCAAAAAGAGCAAGGUGGUGCGCCGUUUUCACGGGCUGUUGGUAAAAAGAAAGGUGCAAAAACUAUUUAUACAUCUUUCAGGCAGAUUGUAGACUAUUCAGCAGCUAAUGUUGGCAUUAACAUAUCAAGGACUGGAGCUCCUGCUAAUGUGUAGGAAAGGAUAUUGAUAAUAGUAGUGUUUAUUUGGAAAAACCAAAUAAUGAGAAAAUCAAAGGAAAGGAGGAUGAGAAGAGUAAGUUACCAAAUGCUAAGGUUAGAAAGAAGGGUAAUUCCCUUCCUUCAUCAUCAUGAAGUUUGGUACUUGGAACAUAAGGGGCUUGAACCGCCCCCUUAAGCAAAACGGGAUAAAAGUUUUAUGAAUUAACACUAUAUUGAUGUUAUGGGUAUAUUGGAAGCUAAGUUGGGGAUGUCGAAGCUAGACCGAAUCAUGCCGAAUAAAUUUGGCAACCUAUUGCAAAUCAACAACUUUCUGUCACACAGUGCUAGACAAAUUUUGGUGUUAUGGGACUCUUUAAAAGUUGACUUGGAAAUGUUGGAGAAUACGUCAGUCACAAGUCAUUCGCUGUAUUGUUACUUGUAAGGUAACAUCUCUUAAAUUUCUUGAUAGUUUUGUCUCUGGUCUUCAUACAAUUGUAAGUCGUAGAUCUCUUUGGGAUAAUAUCGCAAAGGUUAGAUUGGAUUGUUUUGUGCCUUGGCUGAUUAUGGGUGACUUCAACAAUGUACUCAAUUUUGAUGAGAGACGUAAUGGAGCCGAUGUGGCCCCAUAUGAGGUUAAAGACUUUAUUAAUUGUUGCCUCAAUGUAGGACUUACGGAUAUGAGAUCCAUUAGGUGUUUGUACACUUGGUCCAACAACUCUAUGUGGAGUACUCUUGAUAGAGCGAUGGUUAAUGAUGUUUGGAUGCAAAUAGAGUUUUCUAGUUUUGCAGAAUUCCUACCUUCGGGAUGCAUAUCUGACCAUUCACCUUGCAUUGUUUCUACUUUUGCAUAUGAUGAGCGCAAAAGAAAACCAUUUAGAUUCUUCAACAUGUGGACUAAACAUGAGAACUUUUAUGGUAUUGUGCUUAGUGUUUGGAAUCUUGGGAUUCGGGGAACUAAGCAAUUUUCUCCUUGCAAAAAAUUACAACGCCUUAAAGAAGUACUGAAAGAGCUUAAUGUCAAACAUUUUGGGGACAUAUCUACUAGAGCUGAGGUAACCACUAAAGUUUUAAAGGAAACCCAGCUGGUUUUACAUGAUGAUCCCACAAAUCCUCAUUUGCAAAAUGAGGUUGUACCUUUGAGGAAAGAAGCUAUGAAUCUUUGUGAAGCGGAGAGAAGUUUUUACUUCCAACAAGCAAAGUGUGCAUAUUGGAAAAAUAGUGAUAAAUGUACAAAGUCUUUUCACUCUAUGGUGAAGAGAAGUACCAAAAGAACCUUCAUUGCUGCUGUGCUAAAAAGGGAUGGCUCAUAUUCCUCAUCACAAAAAGAAGUGGCCGAUGAAUUCACUCAUGCUUUUAGUGAGUUACUAGGAAAAGAUAGCAUUGGACUACCUUUUGAAGCUAAAAUUCUAGAGUUUGGACCUUCUUUGACAGAGGAGCAUGCUACUUCAAUUGUUCAGGAUGUCUCUAGGCAAGAAAUAAAGGAUGCAUUGUUUAGCAUUGGUGAUAACAAGUCUCCAGGGAUGGAUGGUUAUACAUCUUAUUUCUUUAAAGAGGCUUGGAAUAGUGUUGGUGAUGAAUUUUUAGGAGCUAUUGGUGAGUUCUUUGCUUCUAGGUCCCUCCUUAAGCAAACAAAUCAUACCAUUAUUGCCUUGGUCCCUAAAGCGAAUCAUUCUUCAUCGGUGAAUAACUAUAGACCAAUCGCUUGUUGCAAUGUUUUCCAUAAAGUCACCACUAAGAUACUUGCCUCUCGGUUGGGUUCUACUCUUGAGUCCAUUAUUGAUAAAGCUCAAGCCGCUUUUGUGGUAGGUAGGAGCAUGACAAAGAAUAUCCACCUUGCUCAAGAGCUUUUGAGACAAUACAAUCAAAAGAGGGUUUCCCCGCGGUGCCUUCUUAAAAUUGAUUUAAAGAAGGCCUAUGACUCGAUGAAAUACGAUUUUCUCAAGAAUGUGCUUGAGGGAUUGAAGUGCCAUACUACUUUCAUUAUUUGGUUUAUGGAAUCUGUUACAUCACCUACGUACUCCAUUGCUCUCAAUGGUGGACUACAUGGUUUUUUUAAAGGAAAAAAAGGGGCUUCGGCUAGGUGACCUUCUUUGUCCUUUCUUAUUUGUCUUGUACCUUGAAUAUUUUUCUAGGAUGUUCAAGGGAGCUACCGAAAAUAGUGAAUUUAAUUUCCAUCCUAAAUGUGCUCCUCUAAAGAUUACGCACUUGGCUUUCGCAAAUGAUUUGAUGCUUUUUGCUAGAAGCGAUGCAACUUCGGUUAGUAUUUUGAUUAAUUGCUUUGCUAACUUUGGCAACAUGUCGGGGCUAAGGAUGAAUAUUGACAAGUCUAACUUGUACAUGGAGAGGGUUCAUGGCCAAAAGAUGGAGGAAAUUAUUGAGAUUGCUAACAUCCCCAGAGGUUCUAUGCCUUUAAGCUACUUGGGUAUUCCUCUUGCAAGGCAAAAGUUUGAAAAUCAACACUUAGGAUGCAUUUAUCAACAAAAUCACAGCUUAUAUUGGUGCUUGGUCUAGGGCAUCCUUAUCUUAUGUGGGAAGAAUGGAGCUUGUAAGGUUCGUGCUUCAAGGGGUUGUAUGUUUUUUGUUAUCCAUCUUUCCUAUUCCGACAACGGUUGCUUCUAGAGUCAUUUCUCUUUGUCGAAACUUUUUUUGGAGAUCUAAUAAACCAUUGGUUGCAUGGAGCAAUAUAUGCCUACCAAAGGAUGAAGGUGGACUUGGGCUUAGGGACAUCAAAAGUUGGAACUCCGCACUACUUGCGAAGACACUUUGGAAUAUUCAUUCUAAGAAAGACACCUUGUGUAUUAAAUGGGUUAAUCAAGUUUACCUUCGUGGGGUUGUAUUUGGACAUACAAGCCGAGGAAAGAGGACUCUCCUCUUUUCAAAAAACUGCUGGACAUUAGGGACAACGUUAAUCAGGCAGUAUACAAUGCCCAGGUGGCUGACAAAGAUCUGUCCAACUUGACAGGAUAUGGUAGACAGGUUGCUGUCCAGAAUCUGACCAGCUGGAUAGUUAAUGGCAGAUUCAAUAUUGCAUAUGCAUAUGAGUAUUUCAGGCCAAAAGGAACAAAGGUAAUCUGGGCUACUCCAUUUGGAAUGCAUAUGUGACACUGAAACAUGCUUUUAUCAUGUGGUUAGUAGCUAAAUCUACAUUGCUAACUAAUGACAGAUUGCAUUAUUUACAGAUCCAACUUGACAGGAAAUGGUAGAUAGGUUGCUGUCCAGAAUCUGAUUAGCUAGAUAGUUAAUGGCAGAUUCAAUAUUGCAUAUGCAUAUGAGUACUUCAGGCCGAAAGGAACAAAGGUAAUCUGGACUACCUCCAUUUGGAAUGCAUAUGUGACGCCAAAACACACUUUUAUCUUGUGAUUAACAGCUAAAUCUACAUUGCUAACUAAGGACAGAUUGCAUUAUUUACAGAUUGAUCAUAAGUGCAGCUUGUGUGAACUUAUGGAUGAGACUGUGGAGCACUUGUUCUUUGGAUAUACAUUUAGCCAAUCAGUUUGGGAUAAAAUCCGUGUGUGGGUCGGCAUUAGGAGAUCUAUGUCUAUACUUCCAAGUGUAAUGAAAUGGAUUAAAAAGGAAACUCGAGGUGCUUCUUGGCGUAGCAAGGCCAAACGUAUUGCACUUGUGACUACUAUUUAUCACAUUUGGACGGCAAGGAAUAAGAAGAUUUUUGAAGACCUUAUACCACAUGACCAUAGCAUUGUUCAACGAAUCAAAACACACGUAUACAAAGUUAUGUUUUCUUUGUAUCCGAAUGUUUAGGUUCAAUUUCAAUCCUUAGCUAUGGGGCUAUAGAUUGUAAUGGUGCACCAUUUUUUCUCCUUUGGUUUUACCCGGGAAAGCUUGGUAUAAUUGUAACUGUAAGUGCAUAUGGACUUGAUUUUGAGUUGUAAACCCGGGAAUGCCCGGUGUAUUUGUAUUUCAUUUUGAUCAAUAUUGAUUCACAUUUAC
rnacentral:lncRNA from 1 species